GUGGCCUUUCUGCCACUGGGUAAAAGUGGAGGUUACAGAACAGUAAAGAAUCCAGGUCAACUGGAAGCUGGAACCUGCCAACAGGCCCGUGGGAUGUCAGAGACUUGCACCCACCUGGGUUACAGAUGGGAGCCGGAAGCCUGGUAAGCCGAGAGGUGACCCCUCUGCUUCUAGCCCAGAACUCCUCUUCUUCAGAUAUUGGGCCUCAUACAUUGAUCCUCUGCUUAAAAAAA